AAUCCAAGUCCGAUGUCCAAACACGCCGUAUCCUCGCGACGCGCGCUCGACACAAAUUCAAUCGAAAUCGGAACCCUCCCGCGAACCCUGAGAGAUAGAGGAAAAUGGGCGCGUCCGACGAUAGCGACGAUCUCGAUUCCCUCUUCGACGACUAUCAUUGCGAUUGCGUUCCCGAAUCGCCUCGUCUCUAUCGCGAAGAUGAAGACGGCUUCCCAUCGUUUCGACUCAUAGAAACGGAGGUCGGCAGUGGACAAGUCGGAGGGAUAAUUUUGGAUGAGGAUGGCGAGGGCGACGGAGAGAGUUUUGCGUCCAGCUUCUAUGGCAGCGGGACUGACUGGUCUCGCCUGCAAUCGGGGGAGGAGGGCGAUAAAAGCGGCAUAAUUUUGGAUGAGGAUGGCGAUGACCGCGUGCGAAGUGGAACGGCAUCGGAGAAGAAGCUGAAGCAGUGCAAUCUUCUCCAGAUGUGGGGGUUGAAGAGGGAAGAGGUCGGAGCCGGGAAGCUGAAGCAAGGCAAUCUUCUCCAGAUGUGGGGGUUAAAGAGGAAGGAGGUCGGAGACAGAGGACGCGAGGUUGCUCCGUUGGAGCCGGAGCUGGUUCGGAGGAAGAAGAGGUCGAAGACAUUGAAUGGGGGGAGUAAUGGGGGAGCUGCGGUGGCUCAGCCUAGAGUUUGCCCCUUCUACAAAAAGAUUCCAGGGACGCUGUUCACUGUCGAUGCAUUCCGCUAUGGUAGCGUUGAAGGAUGUUCGGCAUAUUUUCUCACACAUUUUCAUGCCGAUCACUAUGGUGGCCUUAGCAAGCGAUGGUCUCAUGGCCCUAUUUAUUGCACCCCUAUCACUGCUCGGCUUGUUAGAAUGUGUCUCUAUGUCAAUCCAGUGUUUAUCCGGCCUCUGGAAUUGAAUGACGAGCAUAUAAUAGGAGGAGUUAGAGUCACACUGUUAGAAGCAAAUCAUUGUCCAGGUGCAGCUCUGAUUCACUUUCGUCUGUCGAAUGGUCAAUGCCACUUGCACACGGGAGACUUCAGAGCCUCAAAACUGAUGCAAACUUACCCUCUUCUUGCAAACCAACGAGUCGAUGUGCUUUACCUGGACACAACUUAUUGCAAUCCAAGAUACAAGUUCCCUUCCAAAGAAGAUGUACUAGAUUUUGUUGUCAGAGUUUCUAAUGACUUCCUCAAAAAGCAACCGAAGACCCUUAUUGUGGUUGGCGCUUAUAGCAUUGGGAAAGAAUGUGUCUACCUUGCUCUUUCAAAGGCGUUAGGGGUUAAAGUACAUGCAAAUGCAUCACGCAGACGUAUUCUGCAGUCUUUCAACUGGCCAGACCUAUCCGAGAGGAUCAGCUCGAACCCAAAGGAUACAUAUCUUCAUGUCCUGCCUAUAUCAUCCCUGCGGUUUGAAAUCCUCCAUACUUAUUUGAAGUCUUAUGGAGAUCAAUGCACAAAUGUUUUGGCAUUCCGACCAACUGGUUGGACCUACUCUGAGCGUACACAAUUGAGUCUAAUCAAACCCAUCUCCAAAGGCAAAGUUACCAUUUAUGGAGUUCCUUAUAGUGAGCACUCCAGUUUUACAGAAUUGAGGGAGUUUGUACAGUUUUUGAGGCCAAACAAGAUCAUCCCGACUGUGAAUGUUUGGAAUGCUUCUACUAGAGACAAGAUGCAAUCGUACUUUCGGCAAUGGCUGAAAGACAAGUCUAUGAGCCAGAAUUCAUGAUUUCUGUCCGUCACUGCAAAAAUCUUUGGUCCCGCCUGCGGUACAAGUGUACCGCACCUUCGCAGGUCUUGGAUACUUUUCCAAUGAAAUCUGUUUGGUUUAAUGUUCUUUCCCCACUUUCUUACUAAUGUUUCUCCAAGUAGUCCUGAUUUCAGCUCUACAAAAUACAGAUAUCACCAACUCUGUAUGGAAGGGCUUAACAUAUUAACUCAAGUUGGUGCAAAGGACUGGAAGUCCACAUGCUCAUUUGAAAUUCUAUUUUGUGAAAGUGCAGGAAGAGGAGAAAGAUGGUAUACUGAUAAACCUGAAAGAUACAGAUGACCUCUGGUCGGUUCAUGACCUUGUUGUAAACAUAUGUACUCAUUUCUCCUUUUCUUCUAGAUAAUUUUGCUCUACGGACAGCAAUGAUCAGUUUGUCCUUUGGCCUGUAGAUAUAAUCCUCAGAUCCUGGUCAAUCACUUUUUCUGAAACCUCACAUUGGAAUAUUGUCUUAGAUAUGGAAUUGAAUGUCCAAUUUGCUCCGACUGAAGAUUCUUCUACUUACUA